rnacentral:rRNA from 1 species
CGGACGGGUGAGUAACACGUAGAUAACCUACCUAUAAGACUGGGAUAACUUCGGGAAACCGGAGCUAAUACCGGAUAAUAUAUUGAACCGCAUGGUUCAAUGGUGAAAGACGGUUUUGCUGUCACUUAUAGAUGGAUCCGCGCCGCAUUAGCUAGUUGGUAAGGUAACGGCUUACCAAGGCAACGAUGCGUAGCCGACCUGAGAGGGUGAUCGGCCACACUGGAACUGAGACACGGUCCAGACUCCUACGGGAGGCAGCAGCU